rnacentral:rRNA from 1 species
AUUGAACGCUGGCGGCAGGCUUAACACAUGCAAGUCGAACGAGUGGCGGACGGGUGAGUAAUGCUUGGGAAUCUGGCUUAUGGAGGGGGAUAACGACGGGAAACGGUCGCUAAUACCGCAUACCAUCGGAUGAGCCCAAGUGGGAUUAGGUAGUUGGUGGGGUAAAGGCCUACCAAGCUGACGAUCUCUAGCUGGUCUGAGAGGAUGACCAGCCACACCGGGACUGAGACACGGCCCGGACUCCUACGGGAGGCAGCAGUGGGGAAUAUUGCGCAAUGGGCGCAACCCUGAGACAGCCAUGCCGCGUGAAUGAAGAAGGCCUUCGGGUUGUAAAGUUCUUUCGGUAUUGAGGCGUUAACUACAGAAGAAGCACCGGCUAACUCCGUGCCAGCAGCCGCGGUAAUUC